GAAGGAUUUCUUCCUGGAGAUCCUUCCUUGGUGAAGCUUUCUCUUGUGAACUGAGAUUCUUCUGAUACAGGAGAUUUGCAUUCCUGUAAGGACUGAAGAAAUCCUGUCCUACUGAAUGGAAGCUGCUGGGAAUACCCACAGCAAGAAAUGAAGCUUUCAUGUCUGUCAAAAAAGUCCCUCACAGGUGUAGAGCUGAAAGAAUCCUACAAAGGCAGUGUUUGCUCAGUUAUCCAGGCAGUGAUGGGAACAGCUGAGACAUCCAGGGAAGGCCACCAGGAUACUGCACAGAGGGGAAAGAAGGUCAACGCUGAAAUUCUUCAGGCCCUUUUGGGGCCUCAAAGGAAAUGGUUUGACUUCUCCUCCCGACUUUCCUUCCCGUUCCUCAUCCCACCUCUAUUCUUAGCAGCUUUGUCUGAGGGCUGGGAACAGAGCAUGGUUUCUUAAUUCCUCACCUCCUGUUACCUCAUAUUUUGACUUAGGAGGCUGAGGGUGGUGGCAGAGGUUGUAACCUUGCAUGGAGCUGUUGUUUUUGUUUACACAAGGGCUGCUUUUCCAUUAAGUAGGAUUUUCUCAGCUAUUGGGACAUGCCAUAGGUGUGACAUCAAUCUGUUCUGGUACCAACAAUUUAGCUCCAAAAAAAACCAAUAUUACACAGUCCCAAAAAUGGGACCUCACGAGUGAGCUCCCUGUGCCAGCUACCUGCUGUCAUGCUCCACAAACCCUGCUCUUGGCAGGAUCCAAGAAAACAACACCAGAACACAGUGCUUCUCCCUUCCUGCCACAUUAAACGAGACCCCUUAAUUACAUCUGGGGAUGAAACUGGCUCAACAAGUUGGGCAGCUCAUGGGACUGCUAGUUGGGAAGCUGCACCUGCAGCCCCAGCUCUCCCCAUGGGCUGACAUCUCACCCCAAGAGAUGGAAAACAGUUGCCCUCCUUCCUUAGUCCAUUAAUAUCUACUCUGUCUACCUCAUCUAAUCUCCAUGACAUCUGAGUGCCUUUGUGUGUCAGCUUCCUGCGAUGUAAUCACCUUAAUCCCCCCGAAACAAAGCAGCCCCUGCUGAGGAACUCACAAUAGGUGCCUUUCACUCACACCACAACCUUGGCCUCGGUGGCACUUACAACAAAGCAUCCAUAUGUGCACCAAUAUGGGCUGAUCAGUUGGCUCAACACCGUGCAGGAUCUGAGC